CUAAAUUAAUAUAUUUGCAUUUCCUCGUGCCAGCACACGCAAAAAUGCGUGUGAAUGUAUAGCAGGGGGUCGCAAAAUCUUUGGUUGAUUUUUUUAAUAUACAUAUAUAUUUUUAAUUUUCCCCCACAAAGUGUUAAGUGAGUUACAGACAAGACACAACAGACUGACUAGAGAGAGGAAUGAGUUGCAGACCAGUUACAACAACCUGACUCGAGAGAGGAAUGAGUUACAGACAAGAUACAACAGACUGACUACAGAGAAAGAACAGCUGCAGAACUGUUAUCAAAGCCUGCCUGAAAGCCAAGUGCCGCUUCAAGGACAAAACUGGGUGUGCUUUGGUGGAAGUGCCUAUUAUGUUUCUGAUAGCACAAAGUCCUGGAAUGAAAGCAGGUAUGACUGUCAGCGGAGAGGAGCAGACCUGCUGAUCAUCAACAGCCCAGAAGAACAGAAAUUUUGCAGAAAAAUUCAGAAAGCGUGCAUGGAUUGGACUGACUGACGAGGAGACAGAGGGGACGUGGAAAUGGAUGGAUGGGACUCCACUGAACACAAGCUCCUGGGGCCCUGGUGAGCCAAACGAUGACAAAGGAGAUGAAGAUUGUGUAGAAAUAGUCUUUCUGAGCUUGGGUGCCAGGUGGAAUGAUAACACAUGCAACAGUGAAACCUACUGGAUCUGUGAGAAAAAUUUCACUCCAUGAUUCAACUUUCAAACUCAUCAGAGUAUUACAACGCAUCAAUUUAAGCUGAAACUGCCAAAAUGAUUCUAAGCAAAUGCAGCUUUUUAACUGAUGUAUCACUGUUAUGAGUUAAUUUAUCACCAUUUGAACUGCAAAUAAACUAUAACCUUUGAUAACAAGUCUAUGAGCUGUCCUGCAGACCACCACUAGAAAGGUGAUAGAAUUAUCAUUAUCUAUUCACUGUAUUACUGUUGCGUGCCAUGUUUUGCUUGUUUACUGUUGUGUUCUUGUUUAUGAAGGCUCUGUCUAAAAAUGCAUUUUGCUGCAAUAAAUGGUUAAAACAUGAUAUAUAAUAUCUGCAAUCUUGUGUGUGUGUCUUUUAUAUAAUAACUGAUAAAACUGCAGACAAAAUGAAUAAAUGUGGGCAAGGUCCGUUCCUAGUGUUGCUAACUCCACACACCGCAGUAAAUGUUGCAGAAAGAGCCACAUGAGUUCACACAGUCACUGCCAGACGAUCCCUGAGCUGAUAGACACUUUCUGACAUCACACACACACCACAGGCAGUGUCUCUGAUGAGAUAAUAACAGGGAAGAAACCCAGCGUUGAUAACAUAAGCUCUCUGCACACAGUUGCUCGGUUGCUUGUAAUAUACACAUCAUCUUGGACCAAGGACUCUGUGAGAAUUCCAGCCACAAGACACUCGUGUGAUGAAACCUCAUGUACUAAAUUUGUUAUCAUUGGCUUUCACAUGAUUAUUAUUAUUACUAUUAUUCCAGUCAUUUGGUUUCUUUGAUUUGACGACAUACUUCCUCCUGAGAUAUCACAGGCUAAACGUACAGAAAGAGCUGACAGAGCCCAUGGGUACAGAGGAAUAUGUGGUACAAUUUAGCUAACUACCCUGAUCACUCAGUAUUAAAUUCUUCAUAUGUCGUGUGCAUGCGGUAUGCUGAACCAGUUGCCUUCAACGGCAUUCCACAUCCGAUAGAUCCAAUAACCGAUAACUCCUAUGCACAAAGCAAAAACAGCAUGCUUAACAUUUCUGCUUUGCAUUAAUGAUGGCCCAUCUUAAACCGUGAGAGUGCUAGGUGCUCUUUCUUCCCUCAGACCAGAACAGUGGUUCAUUAACACAGAGCAGGAACUUCUCAAGCAGACACUGAGCUAGUGUAACU